GAUGAACGCUGGCGGCGUGCCUAAUACAUGCAAGUCGAGCGAACAGACGAGGAGCUUGCUCCUCUGACGUUAGCGGCGGACGGGUGAGUAACACGUGGAUAACCUACCUAUAAGACUGGGAUAACUUCGGGAAACCGGAGCUAAUACCGGAUAAUAUAUCGAACCGCAUGGUUCAAUAGUGAAAGACGGCUUUGCUGUCACUUAUAGAUGGAUCCGCGCCGCAUUAGCUAGUUGGUAAGGUAACGGCUUACCAAGGCAACGAUGCGUAGCCGACCUGAGAGGGUGAUCGGCCACACUGGAACUGAGACACGGUCCAGACUCCUACGGGAGGCAGCAGUAGGGAAUCUUCCGCAAUGGGCGAAAGCCUGACGGAGCAACGCCGCGUGAGUGAUGAAGGUCUUCGGAUCGUAAAACUCUGUUAUUAGGGAAGAACAAAUGUGUAAGUAACUAUGCACGUCUUGACGGUACCUAAUCAGAAAGCCACGGCUAACUACGUG
rnacentral:rRNA from 1 species